rnacentral:tRNA from 1 species
GCCCUCGUAGUUCAAUGGACAGAACACACCUCUCCUAAGGGUGAAAUAUAGGUUCGAUUCCUAUCGGGGGCACCA